rnacentral:rRNA from 1 species
GACGAACGCUGGCGGCGUGCUUAACACAUGCAAGUCGAACGGAAAGGCCCUGCUUUUGGGGGGUGCUCGAGUGGCGAACGGGUGAGUAACACGUGAGUAACCUGCCCUUGACUUUGGGAUAACUUCAGGAAACUGGGGCUAAUACCGGAUAGGAGCUCCUGCUGCAUGGUGGGGGUUGGAAAGUUUCGGCGGUUGGGGAUGGACGCGCGGCUUAUCAGCUUGUUGGUGGGGUAGUGGCUUACCAAGGCUUUGACGGGUAGCCGGCCUGAGAGGGUGACCGGCCACAUUGGGACUGAGAUACGGCCCAGACUCCUACGGGAGGCAGAAGUGGGGAAUAUUGCACGAUGGGCGGAAGCCUGAUGCCGCAACGCCGCGUGCGGGAUGACGGCCUUCGGGUUGUAAACCGCUUUCGCCUGUGACGAAGCGUGAGUGACGGUAAUGUGUAAAGAAGCACCGGCUAACUACGUG